rnacentral:snRNA from 1 species
AGCUUUGCGCAAUGGCAGUAUCGUAGCCAAUGAGGUUUAUCCAAGGUGCGACUAUUACUAAUUGAAAUCUGACAUGUACCAU